rnacentral:rRNA from 1 species
GAUGAACGCUGGCGGCGUGCUUAACACAUGCAAGUCGAACGGUGAAGGCGGAGCUUGCUCUGCUGGAUCAGUGGCGAACGGGUGAGUAACACGUGAGCAAUCUGCCCCUGACUCUGGGAUAAGCGCUGGAAACGGCGUCUAAUACUGGAUACGAGCUGCUAAGGCAUCUUCAGCAGCUGGAAAGAACUUCGGUCAGGGAUGAGCUCGCGGCCUAUCAGCUUGUUGGUGAGGUAACGGCUCACCAAGGCGUCGACGGGUAGCCGGCCUGAGAGGGUGACCGGCCACAAUGGGACUGAGACACGGCCCAGACGCCUACGGGAGGCAGCAGUGGGGAAUAUUGCACAAUGGGCGAAAGCCUGAUGCAGCAACGCCGCGUGAGGGACGACGGCCUUCGGGUUGUAAACCUCUUUUAGCAGGGAAGAAGCGAAAGUGACGGUACCUGCAGAAAAAGCGCCGGCUAACUACGUG